rnacentral:rRNA from 1 species
UACGGGGGGGAGCAAGCGUUGUUCGGAUUUACUGGGCGUAAAGGGUGCGCAGGUGGGUUGGCAAGUUUGAUGUGAAAGCCCCGGGCUUAACCCGGGAAUGGCAUUGAAUACUGCUGAUCUGGAGGAUUGGAGGGGGGACUGGAAUUCUUGGUGUAGCAGUGAAAUGCGUAGAUAUCAAGAGGAACACCAGUGGCGAAGGCGAGUCCCUGGACAAUACCUGACACUGAGGCACGAAAGCCAAGGGAGCAAACAGG